GAUGAACGCUAGCUACAGGCUUAACACUUGCAAGUCGCGGGGCAGCAUGGGGGUUGCUUGCAAUCCCCGAUGGCGACCGGCGCACGGGUGAGUAACGCGUAUCCAACCUGCCCUUCACACGGGAUAACCCGGCGAAAGUCGGACUAAUACCGUAUGUUGUCCAUUGACGGCAUCCGAUUUGGACGAAAGGGUUGGCGGUGGACGAUGGGGAUGCGUCCGAUUAGCUGGACGGCGGGGUGACGGCCCACCGUGGCGACGAUCGGUAGGGGUUCUGAGAGGAAGGUCCCCCACACUGGAACUGAGACACGGUCCAGACUCCUACGGGAGGCAGCAGUGAGGAAUAGUGGUCAAUGGGCGUAAGCCUGAACCAGCCAAGUAGCGUGCAGGAUGACGGCCCUAUGGGUUGUAAACUGCUUUUAUGCGGGGAUAAAGUGGCCCACGUGUGGGUUUUUGCAGGUACCGCAUGAAUAAGGACCGGCGAAUUCCGU
rnacentral:rRNA from 1 species